UGAAAUUUUCUGAUCAUAUAUUUUAAAAUGUUAAUCAACAUCUGAAAAAAUAUUAAACAAGUAUUUGAAAAAUGUUGAUCAAGCAUUUCAAAAAUGUUAAAUGGCUAAAGAAAAAAAUGUUGAACAUGUUAAAAAAUGAUCAAAUGUUUUGAUCAUGUAUAUAAAAAUGUUAAUGAAGGAUUGGAAAAAAAUAUUGAACAAGUAUUUGAAAAAUAUUGAUCAAGCAUUUGAACAAUGUUAAAUGUGUAUGGAAAAAAUGUUGACCAUGUACUAAAAAUGAUGAUUUUCUUAUCAUGUAUAUAAAAAAUGUGAAUCAAGCAUUUGAAAGAAUGUUGAACAAGUAUUUAUAAAAAUGUCGGUCAAUCAUUUGGAAAGUGUUAAAUGUGUAUAGAAUUUUUGUCGAUCAUGUAUUAGAAAAAUGUAUACUUUUUAUUGAAAAAUGUUAGACGUGUAUUAGAGAUUUUUUUUUGACAUAUACAAAAAUGUAGAAUAAUAACCAAAAGAAUAAAUAAACCAAAAUUAGAAAGAAAAUAAAAACAAAGAAACAAAAUGCUAAAAGGAAUGAAAAAUUGGAGAAGAGUAAAAAAGAAUCAAAAUAAAAUAAAGAAAGAAGAGAAUAAGUAAAACCGGAGAAAACAGAAAGAUAAUAAAAAAAUUCCAUGAGUAUAAGGAAAAUUUGCACAAAUUUGAAAAUCGCGCACUUUGUAUAAGGAAGCUUUCCAUGAGUAUGCACAAUCAGAUCCUAAUUAUGAAUGGCAGCCCGAUGAUGAAGAUUGGGUACUAUAUGGCAGAAUUCAACCCAUCUUGAAAUCAUUUGCUGAGGUAACUACUAUACUAUCAGGAUCUACUUACCCCACUACCAACAUUUUUUAUCCAUACAUCAUGAAUGUUAAGAUUGCUAUAGUAGAGCAUGCUAUGUCCGGAGAUGACAAUUUGAAAAUGAUGGGGGAAGCCAUGCUUAAUAAGUUUGAUAAGUAUUGGGAUAGCACUGUUGUGCCAGAAAACAAAAAUCGGAAAGAUAAAAAAAGGUAAAGAACAAUGUUAUGGUGAUUGCCACCAUUCUUGAUCCGAGAUUUAAGAUGAAACUUGUGGACUAUUUUUUUAAGAAAAUGUAUGGUAAAGAGGGGGGUAGUAGUGAGAUGGAAGAUAUCAAAACAGAGUUCUUUGAUCUGUAUGCCACAUAUGAGAUGGAAAAUCGUCAGCAUGAGGCUUCUAACACCAAUGAGCAGAGUUCAAUUUCAAGUAGGCAAGCAUCUACAUCUAUGACCACAUUGUCGAGUGGGUUUCAAUCCUUUCUCGAGGAGACAAAUUCGGAGCCAUGCAAAUCUGAAUUGACUACUUAUCUUGAAGACAAGACUCAUCCCAUUAAUGAUCCAAGUUUCACAUUACUUGACUGGUGGAGGUUGAAUGCUCAUAGAUAUCCUAUUGUGGAAAAAAUGGCAAAGAAGUUCUUGACUAUACCAGCUACUAGUGUUUCAUCAGAGUCAACAUUCUCUACAGGAGGUAGAGUUCUCGAUGACUACCGUAGUUCUCUACUCCCAAGCAUGGUUGAGGCACUUGUUUGUGCUUCUAGCUUCAUCAAAGGAUCAAAAGAAAACCACAUUAGGCCUACAACCAUAGUGGAAGAUGACAUUGAUGAUGAUGUUGAGUUCAUUCCAUUUCCUGAAUCUAUUGUGGAAAGCAACUAGCAGGAAAACUCUGCAAGUUCAUGAAGGCAUCAUACGCAGCAAGGUGGAAGGGCUCCUGGAAUGUUCAUUCACUACUGCCUGUAGCGUGUUGCUACUAUCUUUAAAAUUUAUUAAAUUAUGCAAACUGAAAGGUGCACCAGACUUGUUGGUGUUUGCUGCUGCGUACUAGACUGCUAGUGUUGCUACUUUAUGCUUUUGUAAUGGACCAGACUCGAGUGGUGUUGCUGCUGCAUAGUAGUCUUGCUAUGCUACCGUUUUGACUCCAACGUCCUUUUAUUAAUUUAUGCUAUUGUGAAUUUGUGA